AGCCAGUCUGCCUUCAAGACUGAGGAGCUGAGGCUUCACGCUGGGCAAGCAGACCCCGUCUCUGAGCCUCAGUUUCUCCGUCUGUGAGACAGAGCUUCCACUAGGAUGGCUCUGAUCAAAAAAACUCAAAUGCGCAGCGUCGGGAGGAUGUGGGGAAGCUGCGGGUAAGAAGGGGACAUGGUUCGGUCACUGUAGAAAAGAGUUCGGUGGCACCUCAAAAGAUCAAACACAGGGUCACCAUACGACCCAGCAGUUCCACCCCUGGCUAGAGACACAGAGAAGUGAAAACGUGUGCAAAGACUCGUACACCGUGUUCACGGCAGCGCGUUCACAAUCGCCCCAAGUGGAAACAACCCAGACGGCCAGCAACAGAUGAUGGAGGAACAGAACGCCCGUCCGCACGGGGGACCAGCGCUCAGCCAUAGAGACAGGCGAAGCCCUGACAGGCGCUACAGCGGGGACGGACCUCGGAAACCUGGCGCCAAGAGGAGAAAGCCACACACAGGGGGCCACACGGUGUGCGAUCCCAUUUAUGAAACAUCUGGAACAGGCCGUGCGCAGCGGGCCCUGAAGCCGGCGGGUCGGGCCUGCUGGGCGGCUCGCGAGGCUUCUGCAACACCGGCCCAGCCAGGGGUUCCUGUUUUGGGAGAAUGUUGUCACCACCGCUUCUUAGAAAGAGCCUGAGGAGCGUGGUGGCCGGACUGAAGCCCGCCCUGGGCAGACCUGGCGACAGGCUCCUGAGACAAGCGGGCGCCGCCGCCCCCGCUGAGGAUCUCCUCCUCGGCCGCCUGGAGGCCACGUUGUGAAACGCCCUGGACUCAGCCCUCCCGCGCCCCCACGGACGGACCAGGACACCGAGGCCGAGAGCUCAGCCAGGAGCCCACGGGCGCCAGCUGCUUCUUGGGCACAGUGGCUCUUCCCGCCCUCGGCGCGCGGGGUCGGCCGGAAAAGAAGAGGCUCGGGUGUCACCUCCACCUUUGACAUAGAGCCAAGCAGCCUGGCCUUGCUGUGCCUCACUUUCCGCCCCCCCACCCACAGCAUGCGUCACUCACUCGUCUUAAACCUCCUGUUCGCCGCGUUGGUGGCCUUUGCAUGUGUCCACCGUGCGUCCUCAGCCUCCGCUCAAACCUGUCCGUGGCAUUGCCUUAGUCUCAGGUGACUUCCGAGGCUGUGGUGCCCAGGCCCUGCCCCCAACCCUGUCACCCAGGCCUCCCGAGGCCCUGGCCCGAGCUGUGCCCCCUGGACCGCCCUUCCCGGGUCCAGCCAUGCCCUCGGCCUCUCCAUUAGUGCUUUCUCACCCCGGUCUGCCUCAGCCUCAUGUUAACAGCUUUCUUUCCUUUUCUUCUUUGUAAGCGUUUUAUUCAAGAAUAACACGGAGACGUUGAAGAGCCUGAAUCCCGAGUGUGCAGCUCUCGAUACAUUUUCACAAAGUUAACACACCCACCUCUCCAGCACCCAGAUAAGAGGGAGGACAUCGCAGCCCCUCUCUCCCAGUGGAGCUCGCUUGCAGGCUCAGCGUUUUGAAUUGAUGAUUGAUGAUUACAGGAUAGGCCCCCUGCCUGUCAUGUAGCUGCUCAACAAGCUGCAGGGUCCAUGGCUUGCAUUAAUAGAGGUGUAGACUCCAGGAUGAAGGAGAUGAUUUCCCUCCUCAUUCUGGGCUGGUCAGAGCAGGCAGGCAGCUCCCCCUGCCACUUUGCAACGGGGCAGGCAGACGGCAGAGGGUUCAGGGAGGAUCACCGUGGUGUGUGUGUCUCUGUGUGUGUGUGUGCGUGUGCAUGUGCACACUUCUGAGUGGUGCCCUGGGAGAAAGCACUGGAGGCUUUAGGCGUUUGACCUGGAGACGGACAGCCCCGGGUCCCUGUCACCUGCUCCGGUGGCUGGAUGGCAGGGCAGGGUCUGAGGGAGGCACCGUCUCACCAGCCAGUUUCUAGGCUACGAGCAGGCUGCUUUGAAUGGUACUGAGCAUCCCGUCAGGACAGAGAGGCCCGCCCAAUGCAUCCUCGGCAGCAGGCUGGGCAGGACAGCAUGGUCCUGCCUCUUACCCGCCCCAGGCCUUGCAGAGAGGGACUGAGGAGAGCUGCAGGGGACAUGUGGCCAAGCUGAGACCUUUCUCGGGGGGAGAUGGAAGCCCAGAGCUGGACAGUGACCUCCCACGGUCAUUUGUCCCAAACUGGCUUUCCAGGCACAGGCCUGGCUUGGAGCUUGGGCUUUGGGUGGAGUUCAGGUUGGGUUAUAUCUGGCAUGGCCGUUCCCUCUCGCCGGCUGCAGCUGCCUGGGGUGGGGACGGUGGGGCAUGCUCCACCAGCCGCACUGGCAAGCGGCUGCAGGUGCUGGGCCGGCCAUUUACAUAGCCACGCUUGGCCUCCCCCGCCUGGCGGCCGGCCUGCCCCCUGGCCUCUCACCAGGAAAGGGCCAGGGCUUCUGAGCGCGGGAGCCGGCUCGGAGCCCUGUAAUCUUGGCGUAGUUUUAUUUCACUUCUGCGUUUCACUUUUACUGGUCUCGGCUGAAGGAUGCAUGUUAGUCAGCCCCGAGAGAAGUUAGUGUGUGCUGUGCCAGCUGGGGUGGGGGCGGGUGAGUGGGCAGACCCAGGUCUGAGUCCCAAGCCACUGCUGGGCGUGUGACCCCUGGAGCCACACUCCACCCCCUGAGCCUCCUGUGAUGUGCACGGGGUGCGGGAGGAGACCCGGGGCCUCGGUUUUGAUGCGGGCCUGCCUCUGUCCUGCUGUGUGGCCUCAGGCAAGUCCCUUCCCCUCUCUGGGCCUCAAUUCUCUCCUCUGUAAAAUGGAAUAACCACAGUCACAUCCUUGCAACGCUGUCUCUCUGAUCCGACACUGGCGCAGGGUCUGGCUGAGUGCUUGUCCAGCGGGCUGUUUCGGGCUGGGCGAGGUCACCGACCUCAACGGCUUCGCAAUGAACCGCGACCCUGAGAUGAGCUGUUCUCUUCCUGUGAGUGAAGCUCUGAUUCCGGGGGUCCCCCCCCCCGGGUCUCAUCAGCUCCACGCCAGGGGCUGGUGGACCCUCGGGCACUGGGCCGGCUGGGGUGUAACCGGAGCUGGGGGCACGGGGCUGGGGGCGAAGGCCCUUCCCAGGGUCCCAGCGGGCGGGCGGCUGGGGCCGGGCGGCUUCAGGGAGGCUGUCCACGCCCGCCCUGCCCUCGAGGGGCCAGCGCCCCAGGACCGUCCACCCUGAGGACCAGCCCCGCUCACUCGCGCCGUCCCUCCCUCGCUGGCUCGGGUUUGGGGCUGUGUCCCCAACACAGGGAGGGUCAGUGGGGCAAGAGGUGAAGGGAGCGCUGGUUUGGGUUUCCUCUUUAACAUUUUUCAAGGGAUGUGAGCAAACUGGAACUUUGUUAGUAGCUGAGCGCUGCCUCCGUGGCCCCGCGGUCGGAGGAUGUGGCCGCGCGACAGAGGGACUCGGAGGCACGCACCUCGGUGUCCGCAGCAGCAUGACUCCCAGGAGCCGGAAAGCAGACACGGCCGGAGGGUCCGCUGACAGGUGAUGGAUAAACCAACUGUGGUCCAUCCCGAGGGACUAGCACUCGGUCAUAACAAAGACCACAGCCCUGACACGCGCUUCACAGUGGACGAACCUCACGGCCUCACGCUGAGUGAGAGAAGCUGACACAGAAGGCCUCAUGUGAUCCCAUAGGGGAAAGGUCCAGAACAGGCAGAUCCACAGACAGAGGCAGACGGGUGGUGGCCCGGGGCUGGGGAGGGGGAUGGGGAGGGGCUGCUCGUGGGGACGGGGUCUCCUUCUAGGGUGAUGGAAUGUUCAGGAAUUAGAUACUGGUGGUGGUUGCAUGUGCACUAAAUGUCCCUGAAUUGUGUACUUUAAGUUGGUUCAUUUUGUUAUGUGAAUUUCACCUCAAUUAAAAAAAAAAGAUUUUGGGGCCGGCCUGGGGGCGCAGCGGUUAAGUGCGCACAUUCCGCUUCCUUGGCCCGGGGUUCGCGGGUUUGGAUCCUGGGUGUGGCCAUGGCACCUCUUGGCACGCCAUGCUGUGGCAGGCGUCCCACAUAUAAAGUAGAGGAAGAUGGGCAUGGAUGUUAGCUCAGGGCCAGUCUUCCUCAAAAAAAAAAAAAGAUUUCUAAAAUGUGUAGCAUUUUUUCAGAGGUGGCUUCUGGGUGGUUUCAAAAACUUUAGAUGGUGAACCUUUGUGCUGUUUUCUGGUUUUCUUGCCCGUGGAUGGGACUGGCUCCGGGAAGACCUGUUGCUGAAGCUGUAAUGACGACGUACGUGCUGGCGCCGAUGCCUAUGAAAGCUUUAGCUCUCCCGGCCUGCUGGACCCCGGCCUGCACGCGUCCCCUGAGGCCCCUCCCAGAAUCCUCCCUAAGAGGCAGGGGCCAUUGAGCCCGUUUCCCUGAUGAGGAACUGAGGUUCAGAUGGCCUUGGUCACCCAGCCG
ensembl:lncRNA